rnacentral:rRNA from 2 species
UACGAAGGGGGCUAGCGUUGUUCGGAAUUACUGGGCGUAAAGCGCGCGUAGGCGGACAUUUAAGUCAGGGGUGAAAUCCCGAGGCUCAACCUCGGAACUGCCCUUGAUACUGGGUGUCUGGAGUUCGGGAGAGGUGAGUGGAAUUGCGAGUGUAGAGGUGAAAUUCGUAGAUAUUCGCAGGAACACCAGAAGCGAAGGCGGCUCACUGGCCCGAGACUGACGCUGAGGCGCGAAAGCGUGGGGAGCAAACAGG